rnacentral:rRNA from 1 species
UGAGUAACCUGCCCUUCACUCUGGGAUAACUCCGGGAAACCGGGGCUAAUACUGGAUAUGACUCGAACAGGCAUCUGUUUCGGGUGGAAAGAUUUAUUGGUGGGGGAUGGGCUCGCGGCCUAUCAGCUUGUUGGCGAGGUAAUGGCUCACCAAGGCGACGACGGGUAGCCGGCCUGAGAGGGCGAUCGGCCACACUGGGACUGAGACACGGCCCAGACUCCUACGGGGAGGCA